rnacentral:rRNA from 1 species
UACAGAGGGGGCAAGCGUUGUUCGGAAUUACUGGGCGUAAAGGGCGCGUAGGCGGCCUGUUAAGUCGAACGUGAAAUCCCCGGGCUCAACCCGGGAACUGCGUCCGAUACUGGCAGGCUUGAAUCCGGGAGAGGGAUGCGGAAUUCCAGGUGUAGCGGUGAAAUGCGUAGAUAUCUGGAGGAACACCGGUGGCGAAGGCGGCAUCCUGGACCAAUUCUGACGCUGAGGAGCGAAAGCCAGGGGAGCAAACGGG